rnacentral:rRNA from 1 species
AUUGAACGCUGGCGGCAGGCCUAACCCAUGCAAGUCGAACGAGUGGCGGACGGGUGAGUAAUGUCUGGGAAACUGCACGAUGGAGGGGGAUAACUACUGGAAACGGUAGCUAAUACCGCAUACCAUCGGAUGUGCCCAGAUGGGAUUAGCUAGGAGGUGGGGUAACGGCUAACCUAGGCGACGAUCCCUAGCUUGUCUGAGAGGAUGACCAGCCACACUGGAACUGAUACACGGUCCAGACCCCUACGGGAGGCAGCAGUUGGGAAUAUUGCACAAUGGGCGCAAGCCUGAUGCAUCCAUGCCGCGUGUAUGAAGAAUGCCUUCGGGUUUUAAAGUACUUUCAGCGAGGAGGCGUUACUCGCAGAAGAAGCACCGGCUAACUCCGUGCCAGCAGCCGCGGUAAUAC